AAUAAAUACAAUUUUACACUGUUUAUAUCUAAUGUUCGAUCGUUUGUUUUAUUUAAAAAAAAAUGUGAUUAGUAUUUAUAUUGUUAUUAGAUGAUAAAACAUAAAUAAUACUUUACGUGUGACUAUUUUUAAAUACUUUUAUAAUUUUUUAAAUAAGACGAACGGUCAAAUGUUGGACACGGAUUCUCACGGCUGCACUUAUU
rfam:Oryza barthii chromosome 2, whole genome shotgun sequence.